AACUCUUGAGGACCAUUCCCUCCUUUGGUUGCACCGAUGCUACUGGAGUUGUUUUGGGAUCUGACAGUUUGAUAGUUCUUGCACAUAAAUUGGCCCCCAUUCAAGUCUUGAAGUAUUAUCCUGAUUUCGAUAAUUAUUAUGCCUACCAGAGUUUCGAGUUGGAUGAACCCGUCAUAGGAAUUACCACUUUCUAUAUAGGAGGUUUUGGUAUGAGUGAUGCAUACCUAUGUGUCAUCACAGAAAAUGAGAACUAUUUCAUCUAUGAAUUCCGAUUUCUAGAAGGCUGGAAAAUAAAAUCGACUGGUCAGUUGGAAGGUUUGAAAAAAUUUGUGCCGUUCGAGCUGAACAAAAAGAGUUAUAUAUUUGCACCGUCCAGUAAAAUCAGUUCUUUAUUAACAGUAGUGAAGAAUGGAUCUAAUUAAAUUAUUUAUAUAAAGUAAUAUACACUUUUUAUAAUCCUUCUCCAG